AUCUGGUUUUGGUGAGGUGGAGGUGGUUUUGCAAAUAGUCAAGCCACAUAAGCAGGAUGACGUGGCCAGAAAACUACUAGCGCACAUAACCCCCCCUCCUUUUUCCGACCUGUGACCGCUCCUCUGCCUCGCGACUCCCUGGCGGCGGAUGGAUCGAUCCAAGUGCCAACUCCGGCGGCGACCACGGCACAACGGAGGUGAUCGGCGGCGAUGAAUUUCCUGAGGUGCGUACCCCCUCCUGCUACCUACCCGUGCCGCCGCUCUACCGAACCCCCUAAUCUCAAGGGGAUCCGCGGCGGCCAUGCGGCGCGGCGGCGGCCUCAGCUUCUCCAUCUGCCUCGGCUCUAAGCUCGGCGUCGUCGUCACCUCCCCCGCCCUCGCAAGGAGGUGCUCCGCGACCAGGACCUGCUCUUCUCCGGCCGCGACGUCCCCGAUGCCACGCGCUCCAUCUCCUACGGCGGCGGCCACAACAUCGUCUGGAACCCCGUCGGCCCCACCUGGUGCCUCCUCCGCCGGGUCCGCGUCCGGGAUAUGGUCAGCCCCUCAGGGCUCGACACCGUGCGCGUGCUCCGGGACUGUGAUUUCCGGAGUUUCAGACAGACUCUGAUGGGUGGUUGCUCGUGCUGAUGGGGGCCUGAAUCAGACGCCGUGCACGCGGGACUGGGAGUUCCGAGCCACGCUCCGCCACCUCCACGCGCAGGCCGCCACCGUUGCUGCCGGACUUGCUCGGCGGCGCCGGACUUCUUGGAGUACAUGAUCAAGCUCCAGAAGGAAGAAACCUUACAGCAAACUACAUUAUCAAGGUCAAUUGGACUGAUUAGAUGAUGGCAUGAUGCAAACCAUCAACGAAAGAGGCUGCUGUCAGCUACUGGUACUUGUGAAUUAGGAUCAGAGCAAAUUUCAAAUACAAGAGCACUAUAUAUUUCCAUAGCAGUGCCUUUGGUCAAAUCAUAAGCUUGACCAACAAUAAUGCUCUGUAAUAGCAGCUUGAUGUAAUUAGCACUUGAUGUACUGAAAUCAUAUAGUAGAAUGGUUUAUCAUGCUCUGUAAUUGUCACUUGAUGUAAUCGGCACUUGAUGUACUGAAAUCACAUAGCAGAAUGUUUUAUCAUGCUCUGAAAUUGUCACUGAUGUAAUCGGCACUUGAUGUACUGAAAUCAUACACCAAAAUAUUUUUUCA